UGGCUCAGUGGUUAAGAGCACUGGGUGCUCUUCCAGAGGACCUGGGUUCAAUUCCUAG
rnacentral:tRNA from 1 species